GAUGAAGAACGUAGCGAAAUGCGAUACGUAAUGUGAAUUGCAAAUUCAGUGAAUCAUCGAGUCUUUGAACGCACAUUGCGCCCCCUGGUAUUCCGGGGGGCAUGCCUGUCCGAGCGUCAUUGCUGCCCUCAAGCACGGCUUGUGUGUUGGGCCCCGUCCUCCGAUCCCGGGGGACGGGCCCGAAAGGCAUCGGCGGCACCGCGUCCGGUCCUCGAGCGUAUGGGGCUUUGUCACCCGCUCUGUAGGCCCGGCCGGCGCUUGCCGAUCAACCCAAAUUUUUAUCCAGGUUGACCUCGGAUCAGGUAGGGAUACCCGCUGAACUUAAGCAUAUCAAUAAGCGGAGGA
rnacentral:misc_RNA from 1 species